UACAGAGGUCUCAAGCGUUGUUCGGAUUCAUUGGGCGUAAAGAGCUCGUAGGCGGCUUGUUGCGUCGGAUGUGAAAGCCCGGGGCUUAACCCCGGGUCUGCAUUCGAUACGGGCAGGCUAGAGUGUGGUAGGGGAGAUCGGAAUUCCUGGUGUAGCGGUGAAAUGCGCAGAUAUCAGGAGGAACACCGGUGGCGAAGGCGGGUCUCUGGGCCGAUACUGACGCUGAGGAGCGAAAGCGUGGGGAGCGAACAGG
rnacentral:rRNA from 1 species